AUACGGAGGAUGCGAGCGUUAUCCGGAUUUAUUGGGUUUAAAGGGAGCGUAGGUGGGAUAUUAAGUCAGCUGUGAAAGUUUGGGGCUCAACCUUAAAAUUGCAGUUGAUACUGGUUUCCUUGAGUACGGUACAGGUGGGCGGAAUUCGUGGUGUAGCGGUGUAAUGCUUAGAUAUCACGAAGAACUCCGAUCGCGAAGGCAGCUCACCGGGCCGGAACUGACACUGAUGCUCGAAAGUGCGGGUAUCAAACAGGAUUAGAUACCCUGGUAGUCCGCACAGUAAACGAUGAAUACUCGCUGUUUGCGAUACACAGUAAGCGGCCAAGCGAAAGCGUUAAGUAUUCCACCUGGGGAGUACGCCGGCAACGGUGAAACUCAAAUGAAUUGACGGGG
rnacentral:rRNA from 1 species